GCCCUAGCAGGGCUUCCGGCCCCUUUGGAUCUUUUUGCGGUCUGGGCUUGCUGUUCCUCUCUACAGUAGUCAGGAAGCCCUUACCCCAAAAAGUAUCUGCGGGAGGCCUUGUCUACAGAGGCAUGC
rnacentral:pre_miRNA from 8 species